rnacentral:rRNA from 1 species
ACUCAAAUGAAUUGACGGGGGCUCGCACAAGCGGUGGAGCAUGCGGUUUAAUUCGAUGUUACGCGAAAAACCUUACCAACCCUUGACAUGGUAGUUAUGAAUCGCAGAGAUGCUUUUCUUCAGUUCGGCUGGGCUACACACAGGUGUUGCAUGGCUGUCGUCAGCUCGUGUCGUGAGAUAUUGGGUUAAGUCCCGCAACGAGCGCAACCCUCAUCCUUAUUUGCCAGCGAGUUAUGUCGGGAACUAUGAGGAAACUGCCGGUGAUAAGCCGGAGGAAGGUGGGGACGAUGUCAAGUCAUCAUGGCCCUUAUGGGUUGGGCUACACGCGUGCUACAAUGGUGUUUACAGAGGGAAGCAAUACGGCGACGUGGAGCAAAUCCCUAAAAAACAUCUCAGUUCGGAUUGCUCUCUGCAACUCGAGAGCAUGAAGUUGAAAUCGCUAGUAAUCGCGGAUCAGCAUGCCGCGGUGAAUACGUUCUCGGGCCUUGUACACACCGCCCGU